UAAUACAGAGGUCUCAAGCGUUGUUCGGAUUUAUUGGGCGUAAAGCGUGCGUAGGCGGCGGGGUAAGUGAGGUGUGAAAUCCCGGAGCUUAACUCCGGAACUGCACUUUAUACUGCCUUGCUCGAGGGCUGGAGAGGAGACUGGAAUUUACGGUGUAGCAGUGAAAUGCGUAGAGAUCGUAAGGAAGACCAGUGGCGAAGGCGAGUCUCUGGAAAGCUGCUGACGCUGAGGCACGAAGGCCAGGGGAGCAAACGGGAUUAGAUACCCCGGUAGUCCUGGCAGUAAACGGUGCGCGUUUGGUGUGGGAGGAUUCGACCCCUUCCGUGCCGGAGCUAACGCGUUAAACGCGCCGCCUGGGGAGUACGAUCGCAAGAUU
rnacentral:rRNA from 1 species